UGUAGCUCAGUGGCAGAGCACUUGCCUAGCAUGCGUGAGGCACUGGGUUCAAUCCUCAGCA
rnacentral:tRNA from 1 species